rnacentral:rRNA from 1 species
GACGUAGGAGGCGAGCGUUGUCCGGAGUUACUGGGCGUAAAGCGCGCGCAGGCGGUCACGCAGGUCAUCUGUGAAAGCACUCGGCUCAACCGGGAUGUUGCGGGUGAAACCGCGUGACUUGAGGGUGGGAGAGGUCGGUGGAAUUCCCGGUGUAGUGGUGAAAUGCGUAGAGAUCGGGAGGAACACCCGUAGCGAAGGCGGCCGACUGGACCACACCUGACGCUGAGGCGCGAAGGCCAGGGGAGCCGGAACGGGAUUAGAAACCCGAUAGUA